rnacentral:rRNA from 1 species
GACGAACGCUGGCGGCGUGCCUAAUACAUGCAAGUAGAACGCUGAAGCGAGGAGCUUGCUCUUCUUGGAUGAGUUGCGAACGGGUGAGUAACGCGUAGGUAACCUGCCUUGUAGCGGGGGAUAACUAUUGGAAACGAUAGCUAAUACCGCAUAACAAUGGAUGACACAUGUCAUUUAUUUGAAAGGGGCAAUUGUUCCACUACAAGAUGGACCUGCGUUGUAUUAGCUAGUAGGUGAGGUAAUGGCUCACCUAGGCGACGAUACAUAGCCGACCUGAGAGGGUGAUCGGCCACACUGGGACUGAGACACGGCCCAGACUCCUACGGGAGGCAGCAGUAGGGAAUCUUCGGCAAUGGGGGCAACCCUGACCGAGCAACGCCGCGUGAGUGAAGAAGGUUUUCGGAUCGUAAAGCUCUGUUGUAAGUCAAGAACGGGUGUGAGAGUGGAAAGUUCACACUGUGACGGUAGCUUACCAGAAAGGGACGGCUAACUACGUG